rnacentral:pre_miRNA from 15 species
CGCAAGGAUACUCCACGAAUAGUGAAAUGAAGAGAGCUAUCCGUCGACAGUCAAGUUAAAACACGGAUUGUAAUACUGUCAUGGAAUUGCUCUCUUUGUAUAACAUUCGAAAGGCGACGAUAUCGGUGU